rnacentral:rRNA from 1 species
AUUGAACGCUGGCGGCAGGCUUAACACAUGCAAGUCGAGCGGUAACAGAGAGAAGCUUGCUCCUCUGCUGACGAGCGGCGGACGGGUGAGUAAUGCCUAGGAAUCUGCCUAGUAGUGGGGGAUAACUUGCCGAAAGGUAAGCUAAUACCGCAUACGUCCUACGCGAGAAAGGAGGGGCCCUUCGGGCCUUUCGCUAUUAGAUGAGUCGAGGUCGGAUUAGUUAGUUGGUGAGGUAAUGGCUCACCAAGACCGCGAUCCGUAACUGGUCUGAGAGGAUGAUUAGUCACACUGGAACUGAGACACGGUCCAGACUCCUACGGGAGGCAGCAGUGGGGAAUAUUGGACAAUGGGGGGAACCCUGAUCCAGCCAUGCCGCGUGUGUGAAGAAGGUCUUAGGAUUGUAAAGCACUUUAAGUUGGGAGGAAGAGCAGUUAACUAAUAUUUGACUGUUUUGACGUUACCGACAGAAUAAGCACCGGCUAACUUCGUGCCAGCAGCCGCGGUAA